AUUGAACGCUGGCGGCAUGCCUUACACAUGCAAGUCGAACGGCAGCACGGGAGCAAUCCUGGUGGCGAGUGGCGAACGGGUGAGUAAUAUAUCGGAACGUGCCCAGUCGUGGGGGAUAACGUAGCGAAAGCUACGCUAAUACCGCAUACGAUCUAUGGAUGAAAGCGGGGGAUCGCAAGACCUCGCGCGAUUGGAGCGGCCGAUAUCAGAUUAGGUAGUUGGUGAGGUAAAGGCUCACCAAGCCGACGAUCUGUAGCUGGUCUGAGAGGACGACCAGCCACCCGGGGACUGGGACACGGCCCAGACGCCUACGGGAGGCAGCAGUGGGGAAUUUUGGACAAUGGGCGCAAGCCUGAUCCAGCAAUGCCGCGUGCAGGAUGAAGGCCUUCGGGUUGUAAACUGCUUUUGUACGGAACGAAACGGUGAGCUCUAAUACAGUUUGCUAAUGACGGUACCGUAAGAAUAAGCACCGGCUAACUACGUGCCAGCAGCCGCAGUAA
rnacentral:rRNA from 1 species